AAGUCGUAACAAGGUUUCUGUAGGUGAACCUGCAGAAGGAUCAUUAGUGAAGAUUUGGGCAGGCCAUACGGACGCCAAAAAAGUGUCCCUGGCCGCCUACACCCACUAUACAUCCACAAACCCGUGUGCACUGUCUUGGAGAAAGGCUUCUUGAGAAGUUUUGUGGCCUCUCUUGGGGUCUUUCUUCGCUACAAACUCGAAUGGUUAGUAUGAACGUGGAACUUGGUUGGACCGUCACUGGCCAACAAACUAUACACAACUUUCGACAACGGAUCUCUUGGUUCUC
rnacentral:misc_RNA from 1 species